rnacentral:misc_RNA from 1 species
AACGCACAUUGCGCCCCCUGGUAUUCCGGGGGGCAUGCCUGUCCGAGCGUCAUUGCAACCUUCAAGCGCGGCUUGUGUAUUGGGCCUCGUCCCCUCGUGGACGGGCCUGAAAGGCAGUGGCGGUGCUGAUUUUGGUGCCUGAGCGUAUGGGGAUCAUCUCCGCUCUUUAGGCCCGGUCGGCGCCCGUCGUAACCAAAUUUUUUACCGGUUGACCUCGGAUCAGGUAGGGAUACCCGCUGAACUUAA